rnacentral:misc_RNA from 1 species
AGAGAGAGAGAGAGAGAGGUUUAACCUUUGCUAAUGCCAUUGUUGUACGCCAACUCAUUUCAUUUGAGUCGUAGAGAUUCUAUUUACCAAACACAAGAACAAAACCACCAUCUCUCUCUCUCUCUUUCUCGAGCCCCUACAUUUCCUUACCACCAUGCUCUUUGCUUUGUCAUCUACUUGUUAUCUCUCUCUCUUUCUUCAUUUUCUUUGCUAAUCUCAGACCAUUACUUGUUUUUCUACCAUUUUUAGUUACAGAAACCUUCUCUUCUCUGCUUAAAAAAGGAACUUCUUUUCCUAAGCAAAAACUAAUCUUUCUGCUGUCAAUGUAUUUUUGGCUUUGAAUUACUCUGUCUCUGCGGCUAAGAGAUGAAAUGGGUUGUUGUGAAACUUCUCUAAGAGUUUGGUUUCUAGCCGAAAUACACCUUUCUCUACCGAAAGAUGAAAGUGGUUGCUUCAAGACUUUCCCAAAAGCUACAUUUCCAAGCUUCAAUGUGUAGAACUAUUCCUCAAACGCACAUAAAACCCAGUUUGGCACAGCCCCACCUCCUUUUUAUCCUAAAAGAAUACACAGAUUCUCCCAAAGAACCAACUUUCUCACUUUUCAGUGUCCCGUUUUUCUAAAAGCAGCACCCACGCCUAUUCAAGCCAAAGAAAAAAACCACUCUUCCAGCUUUAAGCAACAGAAACCAUGGGAUGUGUUGCCUCCAAGCUAGAAGAAGAAGAAGAGGUGGUAUCUAUCUGUAGGGAGAGAAAAAGGCAGCUAAAACUAGCUGUAGAGAGAAGAUAUGCUCUUGCAGAAGCACAUUGUAGAUACUUCCAGUCUCUCUAUGCUGUAGCAGCUACUAUAAAGCUCUUUGUAGCUCGCCAUUCUUCACCAACUUCACCGUUCCUCAUCACCUUCCCUCCUCCCCUAUCUCCUACUGAACAAAACGUGAUAACGAAUCCAAUCUUUCUCCAACAAGAGCCAUCUGAGUCGACAACCCCCCAUGAAGCCAUUGCUUGUGAGUCUUGUGGUUCCUCAGCAACUUCAGAUUCUAGUGAGGAAGAGACCAAAGAAGAAGAACAGAGAGAGGAGCAAGAUUUUGGGUAUUUUUAUAUGCAAACACAGUCACCACAGACAGAUUUUGGAUGGGAUUUCUUUAACCCAUUUGAUACAAUGAGGCCAGAAAUUGUAAGUGGUUAUGGGAGAAGUUCAGAUGAUGACUUGAGGGUGGUGAGGGAAGAGGAGGGGAUUCCAGAGCUAGAAGAAGAAGGGGAUAGGGAAGGAGAAGAUGAAGAAGAAGAUAAUGGAAAAGCUGUGGUUAUUGAAGAGAAAGGGAAAACGGAGAUUGAGGAACGUGGGACUGGUGAGGUUAAGGUGGUGGAUGAAGUUGCAAAUCGGAGCCAAAGUGAGCGAAAGGGGCUUACGGUUAUUGAUACACCAGAGAGAGGUAGGGAACUAUUAGAGGCAUUGAAGGAUAUUGAGGACCACUUUGUUAGGGCUUAUGAUUCUGGCAAGGAUGUGUCAAGGAUGCUAGAAGCUAAUAGGGUUUAUUUGCAAUCUGGCCUGGAGGAAAUAAAAGGGAACUCGAGAAAACUAAUUCAAGCUAUUACAUGGCAUCGGUCCACUUCCUCGUCUAAGCCUUCAUCAUGCAAGAGUGUUGUGGCAUCCAGUUCUAAAAGUUCAUCAACUUGGACAGAAUAUAAGAAUGAUUUGUUUGAUGAAUAUGGCGGAAUGGAUGCAGGAAGCCAUUCACUAACACUUGGGAGGUUGUAUGCUUGGGAAAAGAAGCUCUAUGAAGAAAUCAAGGCCGGAGAUAGCACAUGGAAAAUUUAUGAAAGAAAAUGUUCACGACUAAGAAACCAAGAUGUCCGAGGAGAUGAUGAACUUGCGAUGGACAAGACCAGAGCUGCAGUAAAAGAUUUAUAUGCUGGGAUCUUGGUUGCAAUUCGAAGUGCUGAGUCAAUCUCAAAGAGAAUUGAAAAGCUUAGAGAUGAAGAACUGCAGCCUCAAAUAGUAGAACUCUUGAAAGGCCUAACUCACACUUGGAAGAUUAUGUUGGAAUCCCAUGAAACCCAAAACAAGAUUCUUUUUGAAGUAAAAUCUUUUGCUUGCACUGCAUAUGGAAAAUUCUGCAAUGACUCUCACCGGCUUGCAACGCUUCAACUUGAGGCUGAGAUUCACAAUUGGUGUGCAUGCUUUACCGAGUAUGUUGCAGCACAAAAAGCAUAUGUUGAAGCACUCCAUGGUUGGCUAACCAAGUUCUUAGUCCCAGAAGUUGAAUUCUACUCCAGACGCAGCAGGAGUUCAGCAGCACCAUAUCGAGCGACUGGUCCACCUUUGCUUGUGAUCUGCCAUAAUUGGUUAUCUUCGAUGGAGAACUUACCAAGUGGGUCAGUAUCAUUUGCAUUGAGAAGCUUUUCAAAGGAUGUAAGGGCUUUAUGGACUCAGCAAGGUGAGGAACAACAACAAAAGAGGAAAGUUGACAAUCUUGCAAAACAACUUGACAGAAGAACUCUGGCAAUGCAAAAGACUGAGACCAGGUUUCUUGAAUCCAAGCUUAUAGAAUAUGAAACCAAUCAGGAAUCAGAACACCUUCAUGACCACUUGACAGAGAAGAAAGAUCAGUUGGACAUAUUUAGGAAGAAGCUGGACAUGGAAAAGGAAAAACACCACAAGUGCAUGCAAGAAACACAGAGGAUUACAUUAAGUGGAUUUCAGACAGGAUUUUCGACAGUUUUCGAGUCCAUAACAGAGUUCUCCAAGGCUUCCAUGAAAAUGUACAAUGACCUUGUGAACUGCAGUGAGAGUGCUGGGAAACUAGAUAACCAAUCAUAUAUAGAAGGUGCUCAGUUUGAAAAAAUUGACAUUUAAAAAGCUUGAAAAUGAGUUUCAAGAAUCUAGUCUCUGGAUUGCUUGUAUAUUAUAUCAUGUUGAAGCAGCUCGCUUUGACAAAUUAAUUUCCAUUUUUAGCAAGUUUGUUACCGUGGAUUAGUAAUUGUUUACUGUGAAUUGUUGUCACAUUGCCUACAAUUUUGUUGCAAAAACUUUGAAAAUUUCCUUGUUUCUUGCAUCUUUGUUAACAAGAAAUGCAGAGGUGGGAAAUUUAGUAGGCAGUCCUUGUAAUUAAUUGUAUUCUGGUGUUGAAUAGA